rnacentral:rRNA from 1 species
CCUAAUACAUGCAAGUAGAACGCUGAAGAGAGGAGCUUGCUCUUCUUGGAUGAGUUGCGAACGGGUGAGUAACGCGUAGGUAACCUGCCUUGUAGCGGGGGAUAACUAUUGGAAACGAUAGCUAAUACCGCAUAACAAUAGGUGACACAUGUCAUUUAUUUGAAAGGGGCAAUUGCUCCACUACAAGAUGGACCUGCGUUGUAUUAGCUAGUAGGUGAGGUAACGGCUCACCUAGGCGACGAUACAUAGCCGACCUGAGAGGGUGAUCGGCCACACUGGGACUGAGACACGGCCCAGACUCCUACGGGAGGCAGCAGUAGGGAAUCUUCGGCAAUGGGGGCAACCCUGACCGAGCAACGCCGCGUGAGUGAAGAAGGUUUUCGGAUCGUAAAGCUCUGUUGUAAGUCAAGAACGAGUGUGAGAGUGGAAAGUUCACACUGUGACGGUAGCUUACCAGAAAGGGACGGCUAACUACGUGCCAGCAGCCGCGGUAAUACGUAGGUCCCGAGCGUUGUCCGGAUUUAUUGGGCGUAAAGCGAGCGCAGGCGGUUUGAUAAGUCUGAAGUUAAAGGCUGUGGCUCAACCAUAGUUCGCUUUGGAAACUGUCAAACUUGAGUGCAGAAGGGGAGAGUGGAAUUCCAUGUGUAGCGGUGAAAUGCGUAGAUAUAUGGAGGAACACCGGUGGCGAAAGCGGCUCUCUGGUCUGUAACUGACGCUGAGGCUCGAAAGCGUGGGGAGCGAACAGGAUUAGAUACCCUGGUAGUCCACGCCGUAAACGAUGAGUGCUAGGUGUUGGAUCCUUUCCGGGAUUCAGUGCCGCAGCUAACGCAUUAAGCACUCCGCCUGGGGAGUACGACCGCAAGGUUGAAACUCAAAGGAAUUGACGGGGGCCCGCACAAGCGGUGGAGCAUGUGGUUUAAUUCGAAGCAACGCGAAGAACCUUACCAGGUCUUGACAUCCCGAUGCUAUUUCUAGAGAUAGAAAGUUACUUCGGUACAUCGGUGACAGGUGGUGCAUGGUUGUCGUCAGCUCGUGUCGUGAGAUGUUGGGUUAAGUCCCGCAACGAGCGCAACCCCUAUUGUUAGUUGCCAUCAUUCAGUUGGGCACUCUAGCGAGACUGCCGGUAAUAAACCGGAGGAAGGUGGGGAUGACGUCAAAUCAUCAUGCCCCUUAUGACCUGGGCUACACACGUGCUACAAUGGUUGGUACAACGAGUUGCGAGUCGGUGACGGCAAGCUAAUCUCUUAAAGCCAAUCUCAGUUCGGAUUGUAGGCUGCAACUCGCCUACAUGAAGUCGGAAUCGCUAGUAAUCGCGGAUCAGCACGCCGCGGUGAAUACGUUCCCGGGCCUUGUACACACCGCCCGUCACACCACGAGAGUUUGUAACACCCGAAGUCGGUGAGGUAACCUUUUGGAGCCAGCCGCCUAAGGUGGGAUAGAUGAUUGGGGUGAAGUCGU